ACCGCCAAAGUUGAGAACCAUUGCGUAGUUAGGGCCACCUACCCUUGACCAAUGGUGGUUAGAACUGGUGGAUAAAUACAUCUCUUGGGGGAGAAUGCUCAGCACAUUCUAUGAAAACAACUCAGUGUCCCAGUGGGAUUGAGCCUUUGUUACCCACAGUGGUGAUCAGUUAGAUAACGCACCAUUGAAUUAUCUUCCCUCAUUCUCUAUUUCGCUCUUCCAAGACCCACACUCCUGUUCCUGGGAUUAAUUACAAACUGAACUGUGUGCACUCAGCCACUUAUCUCAGGCUGCUUUUGAGAAGGAACCCAGGCUAACGUAGGCAGAAAAGCGUAGAGCUUAUAUCUGGCCCUCAUUUCCUGGUCCUCAUGGGAGCGUACGAAGGAAGGAAGUAUUUGCUCCCCGUGGAAACCUUGGGAGUUGCUCAGGGCUUGGACACUCGGAGAGCAGUCAACCAUCGACUGACAGGAAGUCCACCUGUAACCAGCAGUAAGUUUCAGACAAGUUUGCUGUCUGAGAGCCAGCAGUUCCUGUCCCUGUGCUCAGACCAGAGAGUUCAUACUUAUGCGGACACUGCAGGGGCUCUGGGGACAGAGGAGCAAAACAUUCUUGUCAUGGGUCUGAAGAGAUUUAAAAGUUAUCUUGAAGACAGAGGUCAAUGUCGCAGUGGUCUGCCAGAAUUCAAAAACCAAAAAAAGCUUACUGAGAAAAGAAGGAUUGUUUUACAUUUGGAAAUCUCUUUAAUGUGUGACUUCAUAGAUGUCUGGAUUCUCCUGUUUCUGCAUUCAAUCUGUUGUGACACUCUACAGCAUGAAGCUUCUGGAAAACUCCAAUGUGUUUGUGAGAGAAUGAGAGUGAAAAUGGCAAAUGACAUUUUAAUAUUAUUAUGAAAGUAGUUUGGCCUCGUAUAGCUGUUACCACACAAAAUUGGGGUUCUCUGCCUGACGUGCAUGAAAAAACACAGUUAAUUAUGCUUUUGGGAAAAGAAAUCAGCUUCAUUCUGUGAGAUGGAUCUGCAGAGAGAACAGGGGGCAUGUGCCCUCAGAUCUGUCUCCUUGAUUCAGGAUUUGGGGUGAAAUUUGAGAGGUUAGGGAGAACAGGCUGGCACGUGGAAAUGCUGCUGGGGCAGGUUUUGUUCGGUGGGCUCCAAGGAUUUAUGGUAAGGUUUUAAACGUUUGUGACAGGUUCUAAACUUCUAUGAUGGGGUUCUAAACAUUUUUGACAAGGUGAGGAAGGAAUUUCAACACUGGAUCUUCCUGAAUGAGGGACCCCUCACUUCCAAUAAGAGUCUGACUUUCAAGUUCCAGUCAUGUCCUUCCUUGGGUUCUGUGGGAAGGAGAAUCUUGGGUUCUGGGGUCAUUUCAGGUCAAGAUUUCUCCUUUUGCACAUGCCCUGGCUACGUGACUUUGCCGAUUUUCUCAAAGGCAAUUCUUAAUUACUCUGUUGAUAAGAGAUGGAGUCUGUUGAAUUGGUCCUGGAGGGCCUGCGAUUGCAUAACUGCUGACAGGCUCUCAAGGUCUCUGAGGCAUCCAGGGCCUGCGCUUUGAGAAUUGAUGGUCUGGGUCCUUUCUGAGCUAAUUCUUUGAGCUAGCCCAGCGAGCAACGGGCGGCUGAGCACCUGCCCUCCCCCACCCCCUCAUCUCUUUUAGCCUUUCCCAAACAAUUCAUUCUUUUGAAUUAAGGCAUUAUUUUCUAUCAAAGUGCAAAUACCAGUGGGAGAGAUAACACAUUACGCUGUUACCAGCUGUCAAUUCCUUCGGGUGACCAAACCUAAUUCAUUUUAACUUGAGAGUCCAUGAGAACAGAAAAGAGAUGAAACAGAAAGAAGAAGGGCCAGAAAUUGGGUGUGGAAGGACCCCUCUCCCCAGCUCAGUGUCAACUUUUUCUAUUUCACAGCAGGGCCUAGGAGAAGCCUGGUUUCUGGAUACUUAGCUCACAGCUAUGACGAGAAGCCAUUCCCUAAUCUGUUUUAAUUGCUUAUUCUCAAGAGCUACCUGAGUUAUAGUACCCCUGUGGCCACUAACAUCCAAUUUCGGACUCAUUGAUCCAGGAAAUGGAAAGAGUUACAACUACUAAUAAAAAGCCAAUCAAAACAAAAGCCACUAAUUUCUGUGGAGAAGUAUUUUUAUCGAUAACCGUGCAGGAAGCUCUUUAUUAAUCUAUCUUCAUGGGGCUGGCCCCAUGGCCAAGUGGUUAAGUUUGCGUGCUCCAAUUUGGCGGCCCAAGGUUUCGGUGGUUUGGAUCCUGGGUGCAGACAUGUCAUCGCUCGUCAGGCCACGCUGGGGCAGCAUCCCAAAUGCCACAGCUAGAAAGACCCACAACUAAAAUAU
ensembl:lncRNA